UACGGGGGGGGCAAGCGUUGUUCGGAAUUACUGGGCGUAAAGGGCUCGUAGGCGGCCAACUAAGUCGGACGUGAAAUCCCUCAGCUUAACUGGGGAACUGCGUCUGAUACUGGAUGGCUUGGAUUCGGGAGAGGGAUGCAGAAUUCCAGGUGUAGCGGUGAAAUGCGUAGAUAUCUGGAGGAACACCGGUGGCGAAGGCGGCAUCCUGGACCGAUAUUGACGCUGAGGAGCGAAAGCCAGGGGAGCAAACGGG
rnacentral:rRNA from 1 species